UCAUCCGCAAUGGACGAAAGUCUGACGGAGCAACGCCGCGUGAGCGAAGAAGGUCUUCGGAUCGUAAAGCUCUGUUGUCAGGGAAGAACAAGUACCGUUCGAACAGGGCGGUACCUUGACGGUACCUGACCAGAAAGCCACGGCUAACUACGUGCCAGCAGCCGCGGUAAUACGUAGGUGGCAAGCGUUGUCCGGAAUUAUUUGGCGUAAAGCGCGCGCAGGCGGUCUCUUAAGUCUGAUGUGAAAGCCCACGGCUCAACCGUAGAGGGUCAUUGGAAACUGGGAGACUUGAGUGCAGAAGAGGAGAGCGGAAUUCCACGUGUAUCGGUGAAAUGCGUAGAGAUGUGGAGGAACACCAGUGGCGAAGGCGGCUCUCUGGUCUGUAACUGACGCUGAGGCGCGAAAGCGUGGGGAGCGAACAGG
rnacentral:rRNA from 1 species